GACGUAGGGCGCGAGCGUUGUCCGGAUUUAUUGGGCGUAAAGAGCUCGUAGGCGGCUUGUCGCGUCGUCUGUGAAAUCCCGCGGCUCAACUGCGGGCUGGCAGUCGAUACGGGCAGGCUGGAGUUCGGUAGGGGAGACUGGAAUUCCUGGUGUAGCGGUGAAAUGCGCAGAUAUCAGGAGGAACACCGGUGGCGAAGGCGGUUCUCUGGGCCUGUACUGACGCUGAGGAACGAAAGCGUGGGGAGCGAACAGG
rnacentral:rRNA from 1 species